rnacentral:rRNA from 1 species
UACGUAGGUCCCGAGCGUUGUCCGGAUUUAUUGGGCGUAAAGCGAGCGCAGGUGGUUUAUUAAGUCUGGUGUAAAAGGCAGUGGCUCAACCAUUGUAUGCAUUGGAAACUGGUAGACUUGAGUGCAGGAGAGGAGAGUGGAAUUCCAUGUGUAGCGGUGAAAUGCAUAGAUAUCACGCAGAACUCCGAUUGCGAAGGCAGCAUACCGGCGCCCGACUGACGCUGAGGCACGAAAGCGUGGGGAUCGAACAGG